rnacentral:RNase_P_RNA from 23 species
GAAAGCAGGAGAGGUGAUCGCAAUCGAGAUUUAUCGCGUUUCCGCAAUAAACUCUCGGUUGAGGAAAGUCCGGGCUCCCAGAUGGUCCAACUUGCUGGGUAACUCCCAGUGCGGGUGACCGUGAGGAUAGUGCCACAGAAACACACCGCCGAUGUCUCAUAGAGCACAGGCAAGGGUGCAAAGGUGCGGUAAGAGCGCACCAGCAGUAUCGAGAGGUACUGGCUUGGUAAACCCCGGUUGGGUGCAAGGCAAAGGUUUUAGGAUGACCAUUUUGCCUAUUUCCUAUUUAAAGCCGCUCGAGGCUGUUGGAGACAACAGUCCCAGAUAGAUGAUCACCCACUAACCAAUUUUGGAUAGUGAACAGAACCCGGCUUACUUCCUGCUUUCUUUC